UACAGAGGUCUCAAGCGUUGUUCGGAUUCAUUGGGCGUAAAGGGUGCGUAGGCGGCGCGGUAAGUCGGGUGUGAAAUCUCGGGGCUUAACUCCGAAACUGCAUUCGAUACUGCCGUGCUUGAGGACUGGAGAGGAGACUGGAAUUCCUGGUGUAGCGGUGGAAUGCGCAGAUAUCAGGAGGAACACCGAUGGCGAAGGCAGGUCUCUGGGCCACUACUGACGCUGAGAAGCGAAAGCAUGGGGAGCGAACAGG
rnacentral:rRNA from 1 species